rnacentral:lncRNA from 1 species
GCUCAGUACUAGAUGUGGCACCUGAAUGGCAGCCAGUUCCUUCCUCACAAUGACUCUGCCAUUUGUAAAGGCUGGAAAAAUACGUUAUGGUUGGUAUAGCCUAUCCACAGCAGGCUAUCUCACAGACCCACCUCACACUUACAUCUACUCUGGUCAUAUUCGUGAUGUGAACUUGAGAAUUCAAAAGUGCAUUAUUCUGUUUGUCACCUAGAUAAAGUCUACCUAUAUAGCAAGGAGGAAAAAGAAGGCAUAGGAGGCAGAAAGUGCUCUCCAUUGAUUCUUAGGUACAUCCACACCUUGGUUCUACCUUCCUUCUCUUUCUUGGAAUAAGUCAUUCCUUUUAGCUUGAACUACUUGGAGAUAUUUCCUGUCCCUUGUAAACAAAUAACCUGAAACAAGAAUAUAGCAGAUCCUGGACUAAGGUAAUAGGUGAAAACCAGGUAAAUCUAGUCAAUGAAAAUAAAGCCAGAGCAAUGAGGAUUUUGCCUUUGCAUAAUAAAACUUCCUCCCUAAAAUUCAUGAAUAUUUGUACAAUAAAAUAUUUUCCCUUGGGUUGCAAUGACUCGGUAGCCCACAACGUUUUGAAAAAAGGAAGGCACUUAUAAAACUAUCUUGUUUCAUGCCCCACCCUCUUCAGCAAGUCAGCAAUAGAUAACAUUCCUGACUUCGAUGGAUAUUUGUUUUGCUGACAUUUUUCCAGGGACUGUCUUUCAUCUAGUAAGUUGAUUGCUGGAGUAUAAAGCUAACUAAAUGUGUCUAGAUGGUCCUUCCACUCAGAAAGCCACACGUGCGCCUCCUGCCUCCUGUCUCCUGCCAGUUGUU